rnacentral:rRNA from 1 species
UGCGCAGGCGGCUUGGAAAGAAAGAUGUGAAAUUCCAGGGCUUAACCUUGGGGCUGCAUUUGAUACGUGUAGACUAGAGUGUGAGAGAGGGUUGUGGAAUUCCCAGUGUAGAGGUGAAAUUCGUAGAUAUUGGGAAGAACACCGGUGGCGAAGGCGGCAACCUGGCUCAUUACUGACGCUGAGGCGCGAAAGCGUGGGGAGCAAACAGGAUUAGAUACCCCCGUA